CGCGUAGGCGGCUUUAUAAGUCUGGAGUGAAAGUCCUCUUUUCAAGGGAGGAAUUGCUUUGGAAACUAUAGAGCUUGAGUGCAGGAGAGGUUAUCGGAAUUCCCGGUGUAGCGGUGAAAUGCGUAGAUAUCGGGAGGAACAUCGGUGGCGAAGGCGGGUAACUGGACUGCAACUGACGCUGAGGCGCGAAAGUGUGGGGAGCAAAACA
rnacentral:rRNA from 1 species